UGCGAUUCGUCAACCUCGUCGCCUCGUUGGUUCGUCGGUUUGUGCCGAGCUAUGCUAAGGGACCUAUAAGCAAUUUUAUACGCCUACAAUGAUAAAAAUAGAAGAAUGUUUUGUAGAAUUUUUAAAAGUAAAUGAUACAUCUGGACAAAGACUUUUUGAAGAAUUGCAAAAUGUGCUAAAAACUCUUAAUCUUGAUAGUGAUAAUGUACGAGGUCAAGGGUAUGAUAAUGAAUCUAAAUGAAAGGGAGACACUAAGGUGUACAAAAAAAUUACUUGAUAUAAAUCCUAGAGCAUUAUACAUGCCUUAUGGUUGUCAUAGUCGUAAUUUAACACUUUGUGAUAUGGAAAAUUAUUGUGGUAAAGAAAAAUACUUUUUCAGAGUGAUAUAAUGCAUUUAUACAUUAUUUUCUCACUCAACAAAGCGAUGAUAAAUUUUGAUAAAUAAUAUAAAAGGUUUAACUGUGAAGCCAUUGUCGGCUACACGUUGGGAAAGCCAUAUUAAAAGCAUUAAAGCAAUUAGAUUCCAAACGCUUGUAAUAAGAGAAGCACUACUUCAGUUAGCAGAAACUGAUAAUGGCUCCAAAAUAAGAAGUGAAGCAGAUUCUUUAGCAACACAUGGAAAUGGAAAUUUUAAAUUUUUAUUAAGUAUGAUUAUUUGGUACAAUAUAUUGUUUGCUGUUAACUUAAUUUGCAAAUCUUUACAAUCUAAGGACAUGUUUAUUGAUAUUGCUAUAGAUCAAGUAAAUAGAUUGAUUAGGUUUUUUGAGGGUUAUAGAGAAGUUGGGCUCACACAAGCUAUGACAAUUGCUAAAAAAAUUGCUACUGAAAUAGAAAUUGAUUCUGUAUUUUAAGUAAAACGUCAAAUCUGUAGAAAAAGACAAUUUGAUGAGAAUGUUAAUGAGGAGAUAACACAAUCAACUGAAGAAUCUUUUAGAAUUAAUUAUUUUUUGUAUAUUGUAGAUCAAGCUAUUGGUUCACUAAAGAAAAGGUUUGAGAAAUAUAAAGCAUAUUAAGAUAUUUUUGGAUUUUUGUUUUGUUCAGAAAAGUUAAAUUCAUUAGAUGAUAAUAAUUUAAAAGCAGGUUGUGAUAAUCUUGAAAUUUUUCUAAAAUAUAAAUAUUUUCUGAUCAUGAUGGGAAAGGUUUAUUUGGAGAACUAAAAAUCUUACGAAAUAUUUUACCGAAAGAAACAAAGAUGACUAUUGAUAUACUGAAUUUCUUAAAAACCAUCAAAAUUUUUUUAUCAACAUAUCUAAUUUUUAUUAUGUAUUUUUUAUUAGUUUGGCGCUUAUUCUUAUCAACUAAUGAAACACCUAGGGUUUGAUAUAUAAUAUGUUUUUCGUCUUUUUUCAUAGAUAGACGAAUUUGUUUGAUAAUAAAUAUUCUUUUUUUUAUUAAUUUAGCAGGCGUUCUUCGUUCCUUUUUUUUGAAGUCCACAUGUAAGUUCCAAGGUUCCCGUGAAGUCAAGGUCGGAGACAGAAGUUACUACAAAAUUAUUUUCUAAAUGCAUGUAUUGCUUAUAGAAUAUUAUUGACUAUACAUGUUUCAGUUGUAUCUGCAGAAAGAAGUUUUUCAAAAUUAAAAUUAUUAAAAACUUAUCCGAGAUCGACAAUGUCACAAGAAAAACUAAGUGGACGAGCUUUGAUAUCCAUUGAAAAUGAUUUUAUAGAUAAAAUUGAUGUUAAAGGCUUAAUUAGUGAUUUUGCAGCUAAAAAUACAAGGAGGACAAUUUUUCGAUGAUACUUUUUGAUGCUAAAGGCAUUGAUAUUUGAUGAAGGUGACCAAAGAGAUGAAUAAUGGAUAAUAGCACUUGAGAAGUAUGUUAAAGACUAUCCAGAUGCAAAAAAACUAGAGAUCUCCACAUCUUCAUCAACUCAAAGAAGACGAUGCGAGCUAGCAAGAAGUCCACAACUUUCGCUCCAAUUUUGAAGGAUUCGUCUGCGGUAGCCGGCGGCGAGUGGGAGGUCCGACCGUCGACCUAAUUCUCUUUCAUUAAUCAAGAAAUGGGGAUUUAUAUGUACCCUCAAUUCCGCGGUGAAAUGGAAUAGCAAUGUGAAUAAGAAAAUAAAAAGUUUGUUGGUGCAUUAAGACUUGUUAACAAAUAAUUAUCUUUGUUGGAGUCCUUUAGCUUUAUAAUUUUCCAAACUGAUGACAAGGUUUCAUUUGCACUGA